GUCGAGAAUCUUCCGCAAUGCGCGAAAGCGUGACGGAGCGACACCGCGUGAUGGAUGAAGUCCUUCGGGGCGUAAACAUCUUUUAUAAAGGAGGAAAUUUUUGACGUUACUUUAUGAAUAAGGGGCUACCAAUCUCGUGCCAGCAGGAGCGGUAAUACGAGAGCCUCAAGCGUUAUCCGGAAUCAUUGGGCGUAAAGGGUGCGUAGGGGGUUUGAUUAGUCUCCCGUUAAAACUUCGAGCUUAACUCGAAAAGAGCGGGGGAAACGGUCAAACUAGAGUAUGUGAGAGGUGUUUGGAACUCAUGGUGUAGGGGUGAAAUCCGUUGAUAUCAUGGGGAACACCAAAAGCGAAGGCAGCACACUGGCACAUCACUGACACUGAGGCACGAAACCUAAGGUAGCGAAUGGGAUUAGAUACCCCUGUAGUCC
rnacentral:rRNA from 1 species